GGGACGCAGAAACUUCUCUUCAUCAUCAAUGCAAGCAAGCCCAGGACCCAGCAGAGCACUUACUUUAGGAUAGGAGCCAUGUGAUCUGUUGAAGUGCUUUGUGAUCAGUCUUUUAUUUUUUAAGAAACUCUUCUUCUCCCGCAGGGUUCACAGAUAAUCUGGCAGGAAGUCGGCAAUAACCAGCAGACAAACAAAGAACUCAGACCUCAGAGGUUCAGGGUGAAAAUGUUUCCACACGUGUGUUUUGGUGGUGCGUGUGUGUGUGUGUGUGUGUGUGUGUGUGUGUGUGUGUGUGUGUGUGUGUGUGUGUGUGUGUGUGUGUGUGUGUGUGUGUGUGUGUGUGUGUGUGUGUACACAGUGAGGAUGGAUCACAGGUGUGUAUCAGUUUCAUUUACAGCCACGAAAACGCUGCAGUGAAACUCGGCUUCACGGCUGCAGAGACACAGACACUAAUCUCACACACUGUCUCUUUAUGUUCCAUCUGAAUCACAAAACACAGACUGUCCUUUAUUAAUAUUCCCACAAUCCUCAAACUCUCCUUUAACCAUUUAGAUGAAAACAACUUCCUGUCUGUUAAAGACUGAAAACCUGCAGCCACGAACGUUGAUCUGCAAUCAGCUCAACAUCAAUUAACAAGCAGCUGCCAUCAAUAAGAGCUGCAAUAUAAUAAUAAUAAUAAUAAUAAUAAUAAUAAUAAUAAUAAUAAUAAUAAUAAUAAUAAUAAUGUCCUUAGAAUAAAUCUAAAGUCAUAAAUAAUUUGUUUGCUUCAAAGACGAAUUUAUUAAAAUAAUGGAAAGUCCAAGUUUUAGAUUAUAGAUGAUAAUUAACCAAUUUGGUCAAUCAAAUUUAAAAAUAAUCAAUAAUAAUGUCUUUUCGCUGUGAUGAGGCAGGAGGUGGUCGCUCUGCCCGGACAGGAAGUGAAGGUUUAUUUUUUAUUCUGAUGGUUAAAAGAGACUCUGAUGAUUCCGGAAAUAGUUUUGGGGUUUUUUCAGGUCGUCAGCUGUUUGUUUGGUGUAAAUGUGACGCGUUAGAGGAGGUCGGAGAACUAAAUGGAUGAACUGUAACGUAAAGAAGUGAUCGCUGUCUUGAACCCGCCGAGGACAAGUGGAGACAGACGAGCGUGUCUGAGUCGUGGUGGUGGUGAAGCGACGUGUUGUCGCCGCUGAAGGGUCGGAGGUCUGAAGGCCGACAGGGGAGCCGUUGUACGAGCUUCCUGCAGGGUGGAUUACUGGCUUAGCUCUGUUAUGGAAAUGGUUUCUCAUGGAGAUUUGAUGUGGUCUCCAUGUUCCUUUGGCACAGCUUUGGAAUUUAUGACCAUAUUUUAACCAGUAAAAUACAGCUGAUGUGUCUCAACCACCCUGAAGAUUUUACAGACUGGGUGGUGGUUUUUCUUUCUUGUUGACAGUUUACCUCCCGUUCAAGAUAUUUUUUUUUUUUUUUUGCUCUUAAGAUGACGGUGUACUUUCUCAUGGACCCUCAGAAAUAAUUCACUCUGUUCUAAUUCAUGGCUCUUUUAUAGAGAUUUUUCUCUCAAGUACUUUCUGUUCAUUUUCCUCUGUUGAAAUUUGUAUUUAUAUGUUUAAUAAAACAAGGUAUGAUCUGCUACUUUCUGCAGCUUCCUCCUUUCAUCACA